UUUUGAGAUCAAUAAGAUUUGGCGGUUAGUUUUUCUCUCUCAUUUUACUCGGUACAAAGAAUCCAAAAUUCACAUUCUCUUCCCCUGCAUUUUUUAAUCAACCAGCAAAAAUGAGCGACGCGGACAGGGGCGCAUCAGUUCCGACGGGAUGCUUCAAGUGUGGCUUCCCUGGACACUGGUCUUACAAUUGUCCAUCAAACCCUAACUCCAAUCGUAAUUCUACCUUAACUUCUGAAUAUGCAUACCCCAAAUCCUCCAACAAUUUGUCCGACAAUGAAGGUGAUAGAGGCGGAAGUACCUUCCAAUUGAAGCCCAUUGGUUCUGCUUCGAAGCCAAAGACGGGGCCUCGAACUCGGUCAAAGCUUACUCCGGAGUUACUGAUCUCCGAUCAAGGUCUUGGUUUGCAAUUAUUCAAAUCAGUCUAAGGACAUGAAUUUAUGAGGUAAUCUGGCAUUUGAACCAUUACCUUGCCAGGAAAUUACAUUGACAUUGACUGUGGAUAUCAUGUGAUGAGAUUCAUUAAGGAGAUAAUCUCACACAAGCGACUUCAAAUUCCUGAAGUUGUAAGUCUUCUAAUCUUAAUCUCUGGAGUUAAUGUUAAUUAAAUAUGUUUAAUUACCAAUAUGCAAUUCUUGUUGAAAAUGGUACUCAUGGUUAGGUGGUCUUGCAGUUAUGAGUAUGAACUGAUUUCCUAGCCUUUCCAUUUGCAAAUAUUGAUGUGACUCAGGGCUAGGGUGCCAUUAUGUCCCUUGGUUCAUCGGCGAUUAGAUAGCAGGUAAGCUCAGUCUUCGUGUACAACAGUUAGAUGUACGCCGUGAGACGAAGACCAAGGUCGGUCUCCCUACGUCUUUCUAAAUUAAUGUUGUCAGCUAUCUUAGUUUUACUGAAGCUUUAUAUUUACAUGGUAAUAUAAUUAUAUUGUUAUACUUAGUAUUUUUAGACAAUGACUAUGUGUAGGACAAUGUGUUUGUCAUUGAUACUGCAGAAAGAAAAGUACAUUAAGUGAACCAAAAAUUACAGAACUAUACAUUAUGUAGUGUGAUGUGAUUGUCUACUCAGUACUCAUUUUAAUAUUGUCUAAUCUAGCAUGCAUCUAGAUUAAACCACUAGUAGCCUAGUAGGUCUGCCUAAGUGAUUGAUGCACAACGGAAAAUCUGAUAGAUAGCCAUAGUUCAUCCCAAAGAGGUGCAGGAUAAUUAAAGUAAAACCUAACGUUGAUCCCAGAGAGGUUACUCUGUAAUUCUUUUGAGUCACUUUUUUCUUACACCAGCUCUAUGUAAGUUGCAUUAUUAGUUCCAUUGUUAAUAUGUUGGUUGGUGAACAUUGCAGCCCAUUGUAGAGGGAAGCCAUUUAUAGAGUUCAGUGAAUUUUACAUUAUGUGAAUUAUUUUUAAGCACUUACAGAGAUUUACAUUGGCUAAUUAUGUAAGCUGUUAGUUUUUUGUUGGCAUCAGGUGUUCAAGAAGUUGGUUCGUCGUAGAAUUUUUUAUCAUUCUUAUUCCAUGUAAGUUCAUGGUUAGUCUCUUCUACAACAAGGUAGUGAUAAUGGCUCCGAGUUUACACUAGUUCAUGGUGUAGGUUCCUUUCUGUUUAUGUUUUUCUUCCGCUCUCUGAAUUUUAGAGUCCUAACAAUUUGCCUCACUUUAAAAUUCACGCAAUUGCUUAUUUUAAUGUAGUAUCAUAGGGGUUUUCACUAAGGCACUGCCUCAGCAACAGGAUGGUUACUAACCUUACAAGCUACCAUGGCUCUUGAUGAGGAGCCUGUUCGAAAAGUGAGGGAUGUCAGUAUUGGAUGUCCAAGCUGUUUCCAAGAAAUUUCGUCUGGUUCGAUUACUUAUGAGGGUCUCUUGAUAGGAGUAUGAUUAUCAUAAAUAUUACGAGUAUUAGUCUACCCACGUCUUAUGUAUGUGUACUUUCUUGGAAGGUUUUGCGUAGCUUUUAAUGUGUGUAAUAUUAUUUAGAACACAAAAUCUUAUUUACAAAGGGUGUACAGUAAUUUAUUGUACACCAAGCCCAUUUUAGACAAACCCACUUAGCUAACACGUGUGAAAUCAAGGGUAUACUGUGAAGUAACUCUCAUUUGCUCUAUCUCUCUCCUCUCAAGCGUUCUUCUCUCUCUUCCCUUUCUUCUCUGGCGGCGAUUUUUCUGGCUGCGAUUUCUCUUGCCAUUUCUUCCACCUUUUGCUGCUAGUCUCUUCUGCCUCAAUCGAUCUACGAAUAUCUCUGCUGCGACUUUGCUGCGUUCUCCUCCAUUGUUAUUCAAGGGAAACCUAUUAUUCAGGGGAAUACAAAAAAUUGAUCCCAAAUGCUCAAAGCCUUGAAGAUAAUGAGAGUCAGUUUAUGACUCUAGCUGCCAAAGGAGAUUUGCCCAACAAAUUGGACUGAAUACACAGUGCAGGCUGGUCUUCCCCUUCUGGAGCCAUAACACUCACAACUGGCUCGCUACAGGAGAAAUAGUGAUUCCCUUAACUUAGUAUAGUAGGUUCGCUACUGAAAUUCCAAAAUUUGCAAUGACAUAUGUAGCUGAAUACACCAUUGGACGAAAUUGACAUGAGUUGCUUACCAGAAGCAACUGAUAAGGGUAAGCAACAAACUAUACCAGGGUAAGCAACAAACUAUAACAGGGUAAGCAACAAACUAUACCAGAAGCAACUGAGUCCCAUACCAGAAGCAAAAAACCAGCAAAUGAUAAGGAAACAAGAGCUCACAACGAGGAUGCAGGAGAUGGAGCCAGAGAAUAGGUAUGGCGAGAGAUUCCGCGACAGCUAAUCGGAGAAGACGAGGUGAAGUUGGCGGAUAACAGAGGUUGUGACGGCGAAUAGAGUUGCCAGAGAGAGGGAGGAAGUAGUGGAGGAGAGAGAAUCGAAGCAGAGUGAAGAGGAGGAGUGAGAUGCUCCGCCAUUUUUGUGUCUGGGGGUGAUGGGAGGAGAGAGAAAGGGAGGAGGUUGGUAAGUGGUAAGCAUUUGGUCUGACAUAUCCGCGGCUAGCUUCGCACGUGUGAAAUAUUAGUGCACGUUAAUAUUAACGUACACCUGUUGCACGCAAGACCGAUUGAUAGAAUAUAUCUAUGUAAUCAGUUGUAUUAUGGAGGCAAUUACAAAAUUCUUUUCAUCGAGGUUUAAUAAUAUAAAACUAUUUAUUAUACUUUUUAA